AACGAACGCUGGCGGCAUGCCUAACACAUGCAAGUCGAACGAGCCCUUCGGGUCUAGUGGCGCACGGGUGCGUAACGCGUGGGAAUCUGCCCUUCUGUUGGGAAUAAUUGAGAGAAAUUUCAGCUAAUACCUUAUAAUCUCUUCGGACCAAAGAUUUAUCGCCGAGGGAUGAGCCCGCGUAGGAUUAGGUAGUUGGUGGGGUAAUGGCCUACCAAGCCGACGAUCCUUAGCUGGUCUGAGAGGAUGAUCAGCCACACUGGGACUGAGACACGGCCCAGACUCCUACGGGAGGCAGCAGUGGGGAAUAUUGGACAAUGGGCGCAAGCCUGAUCCAGCCAUGCCGCGUGAGUGAUGAAGGCCUUAGGGUUGUAAAGCUCUUUUACCCGGGAUGAUAAUGACAGUACCGGGAGAAUAAGCUCCGGCUAACUCCGUG
rnacentral:rRNA from 1 species